rnacentral:RNase_P_RNA from 1 species
GCGGUAGGAAGCUUACUGUAGAGGUCACGUGCAGAGUGCUCGUCACUCGUCCAAUUACCUCGGGGAAGGUCUGAGACAAGAGCCAAUCGCUGUCCUCACAGGACAUCAUCUGAACAGAUGAGCGAGCGCACAGAAACGUGGGUCAUAGCGCGGAAUUCUCGCACGAGACGUUGAUAUCCGCGCAGUUUCAGCGGUUCAACUGAUGCGAUCCCCGCUGACUUGGAAACACUCGCGGCUGGCGAAUGAGUUCAAUGUGUAAGCUAGUACAUGAUACUAGAACCCAAUUCAGACUACUCUCCCUCCGC